rnacentral:rRNA from 1 species
UACGUAGGGGGCAAGCGUUGUCCGGAAUCAUUGGGCGUAAAGAGCGUGUAGGCGGUCCGGUAAGUCGGCUGUGAAAGUCCAGGGCUCAACCCUGGGAUGCCGGUCGAUACUGCCGGACUAGAGUUCGGAAGAGGCGAGUGGAAUUCCCGGUGUAGCGGUGAAAUGCGCAGAUAUCAGGAGGAACACCGAUGGCGAAGGCAGGUCUCUGGGCCGCUACUGACGCUGAGAAGCGAAAGCAUGGGGAGCGAACAGG